rnacentral:lncRNA from 1 species
GACCCCUCACGGUAGGGAGCUGGCAGGAAGCAGAGCUUAUCCCAGAAGGCUUUCCUGCAAAACGCAUGCAGCUGAAGGAAUGCCACUGAAAGGGCUGAGAUCUGCUCCUCUGUCAGCUCCUGCCCCUCAGAAGUGCUCCUCAGUAGGUAACGCAGGAUUCUGAGGGCAUGGAAACAGACACCACAAAAACAGGCCCGUGGAGCAGUCAAAGCUCAGUGGAGAUGACACGUACUGCUCACACGUGUUGUGUCCGGGAAUUCGGGCUGAUGAAAGAGAAUACAUCCCCAGCUGCACCAAAGAACAGCACAAGUACAACUCACAGCCACGAUCUCCUCUCCCGCGCCUGGUUUACGUGAAUGCUCAUCCACAUCCAGGAGCGUGUCACUGCACCAGUCAGAACCGUUUGUGUGAGCCCAGUCACCCAUGCAACCCUCUUUCUGAAGUCACAACCAGGUGUUCCGUGGUGCCCCAGGUAACGCAGCGCGCUCAGCGGCUCCCCACCAUCUGGGCACAGACUGUGCUGGAGCAGCCGGCGAGCCGCCUCGCGUGCCGUGCACAUGGCAUGAGGAGCAUCCCAGCCGCAUGGCCACGCUCCCCUCGUCACCUGCAGGGAACACCUGGGUGUGGGGACAGCGGGGAGCAGCACACGUGGUUGGCACCCGGGAUGUGCAGGAAGGCUGGCUGGCACCUGACCUGAGGCACAGCCUGGCCCCUGGACAACUUCGUUCCCUUGGGAUCCUGUCCCUGCCCUGUGACAAGGGAGCAGCCACGGGGAUUAAGCAGUGCCGGCUUCCACGUGGCUGCAGAACCAAUGUCCUAUGUCAUUCACUGGGUACAACACACACCUGACAAGCUCUAGCAUUUCCACCACUGGCUUUUACUCAUUGAGAAGAAUAUGGGCUGAACUCAAGACCAGGAGCCUGCACAAAGCUUUUCCUGCAAGAACGGUGACAGCAGGAGCCACCAUAUGGGAUGAGACACGAAGCAACUUUGCCUUAGCCCUGCUGAUUGAAUAGGACUAAUCAGGCUGAACUCAGUGCCCAUCUGCUGAUGGCUGCGUAACCAAGAAGCAUCACCCAUGAGCUGGCAGGACCAGGGCAGGGAGUGACACCCACAGCUCACCUGAUCCUCUCAGCUCCAUCCCAGAGAGAUCAGCCUCUGGAGACAGCGACUCUGCCUCUCUAGAAUGGCAGUGUUCCAGAGCUGCUCCAGGGGGUGCCACAGCAUGGAAGCAGGCAGCCCUGCAGAAGUGAUGGGACACGACCCAAAGAGACAUGAACCUUGUGAAUGUGCACUUCAGUUUGCAUCAGAAGCAGGCUCAGUACCAUGCCACAGACUCAAAACUCUCCAGAUUUCAUCCCCUCCAAUUUGUGGCACCAGCUGGAAGCCAGGACGUUGAGAGGGUGGAGAUACACCACAGAGAAGCUGCAAGAUGCACCAAGGCAGUAGAUCAGAGCCAAAAGCAAGGACCUGGGGAAAUGCAGCCUGGUCUCGCUGACAUCAUUGCAUCCUCAUCCUGUGCUGAGCCGGCUGCUCAGGGUGCGUGCCCAUGCCAGAUACACUGAUUGCUUUCUGCAAACAGCUUAUCCGCAGACAGCUGGACUAAACCCAACCCCAUUUCACGUGAGUCACUGACCAAGAGGUCAGGAAGCAAUGCCUCCUCAGGUCCAUCUGCAAGGGCUGGAUUCAAAC